CCUACGGGAGGCAGCAGUGAGGAAUAUUGGUCAAUGGACGCGAGUCUGACCCAGCCACGUAGCGUGAAGGAUGACUGCCCUAUGGGUUGUAAACUUCUUUUUUAAAGGAAUAAAACGAGGCACGUGUGCCUUUUGCAUGUACUUUAUGCAUAAGGCUCGGCUAACUCCGUGCCAGCAGCCGCGGUACUACGGAGGAUCCGAGCGUUAUCCGGAUUUAUUGGGUUUAAAGGGAGCGUAGAUGGGUAGUUAAGUCAGUUGUGAAAGUUUGCGGCUCAACCGUCAAUUUGCAUUUGAAACUGGCUGUCUUGAGUGCAGGUGAGGUAGGCGGAAUUCGGGGUGUAGCGGUGAAAUGCGUAGAUAUCACGAAGAACCCCGAUUGCGAAGGCAGCUUACUAAACUGUGACUGACAUUGAGGCUCGAAAGUGUGGGUAGCAAACAGGAUUAGAUACCCGAGUAGUC
rnacentral:rRNA from 1 species